AUGGCGGCGGGCGACGGCGGUGACACGGUGGCGCUGCCUACGGAAGUCGCCGCACUCCGGCUGCGCAUACUGGAGUUGGAGAGGGAGAACCAGAGGCUUGCCCAGAUUGUUUCCACCUGCAGCUGCAGCUCCAAGGAGGGCAAUAUACCAUCUUCUUUAGCUGAGAGCCGUGAUCAACAAGUGCUGAAGAAUGUAAAAUCACACGAAAGUAGAACCUCAGACCAUGGCGUAAGCCUUCCAUUCGAUCACAUGACGAUAUCUACUGAAAAUCAAGCACUGUGCAAUGUUAAAGGGGAAGGGCAUGAUGAUUUAUCUAAAAUUCGAAGGAAGCAUUCUAAAAGAACAGGUCGCCAACAAGGGAAUGUAAGCCACUGCCAAAAGCGAUUAAUUGCUCUGAAAAUCAUGUACUUUGGCCAGAGAUUCUAUGGCUUUGCUUCGGAAGCCCACACAGAGCCGACAGUCGAGUCUGAGAUUUUCAAAGCAAUUGAAAGAGCAAGACUACUGGUUGGAAGCAGGGAAGAUUCAUGCUAUUCUAGGUGUGGAAGAACUGACAAAGGAGUUUCUGCCACUGGACAGGUAAUAUCCUUAUAUCUGCGAUCAAAUUUAAAAGAUGCAGGAGAGAAUAUAUUGGGUGAAAGAUCUGAAAUCGAUUAUGUAAGUGUAUUGAAUAGAAAUCUUCCAAGAGAUAUACGUGUAAUAGGUUGGUGUCCUGUUGCAGCAGACUUUCUUGCAAGAUUCUCCUGCUUGGGUAGGGAAUAUAAAUACCUGUUUUGGAAGCGGGGCUUGGAUGUAUCGAAAAUGCAGAAAGCUGCAUUUAAAUUCAUUGGGGAACAUGACUUCAGGAAUUUCUGUAAGAUGGAUGCAGCAAAUGUGAGCAACUACAAGCGAUACAUUACAGAUUUUAAUAUUUCUGCUUGUGACCAAAGGUCCAACCAUGAUGAGCUGUGGUCCAUGAAUAUCAGGGGUAGCGCCUUUCUGUGGCAUCAAGUUCGUUGCAUGGCAGCUGUUCUGUUUUUUGUAGGUCAAGGCCUUGAAUCACCUUGUGUAGUUGACUCAUUGCUGGAUAUUACCAAGACUCCUAGAAAACCUCAAUAUACAAUGGCACCAGAGCUUCCAUUGAUUCUACGAUCUUGUCUAUUCGAUGGAGUCAGCUUCAUGUGUUCAUCAGAUGCCAAUCAGGCUUUGAUUGAACACUUGAAGGAUGAACACCAUCAGUAUAUGCUCCAAGCUGCCAUAUUUGAUGAGGCUUUGACCUGUUUAUCUAUUCCAGAGCCUAAUCCACUUGAAUACCCUAAGAAGAAGAGAAAACACAUCCCUCUCCUGUCACGGGAAGCUGAACCUUCUUACGAGGAACGCAGAGCAAGAGUAAAAGCUAAGUCAGCAAAUGUGUAG
rnacentral:rRNA from 1 species